rnacentral:rRNA from 1 species
ACGGGAGGCAGCAGCUAAGAAUAUUCCGCAAUGGAGGAAACUCUGACGGAGCGACGCCGCGUGGGCGAUGAAGGCCGGAAGGUUGUAAAGCCCUUUUAUGACAGAGGAAUAAGGAGGAGAGGGAAUGCUUCUCUGGUGACUGUAGGUCAUGAAUAAGCACCGGCUAAUUACGUGCCAGCAGCCGCGGUAACACGUAAGGUGCAAGCGUUGUUCGGAAUUAUUGGGCGUAAAGGGCAUGUAGGCGGUUGUGCAAGCCUUGUGUGAAAUCCCGCAGCUUAACUGCGGAACUGCACGGGGAACUGCAUAACUUGAAUCACUGAGGGGGAGCCGGAAUUCCAGGUGUAGGGGUGAAAUCUGUAGAUAUCUGGAAGAACACCAAUGGCGAAGGCAGGCUUCUAGCAGAUGAUUGACGCUGAGGUGCGAAGGUGCGGGGAGCAAACAGGAUUAGAUACCCUGGUA